GACGAACGCUGGCGGCGUGCCUAAUACAUGCAAGCCGAACGCUUCUUUCCUCCCGAGUGCUUGCACUCAAUUGGAAAGAGGAGUGGCGGACGGGUGAGUAACACGUGGGUAACCUACCCAUCAGAGGGGGAUAACACUUGGAAACAGGUGCUAAUACCGCAUAACAGUUUAUGCCGCAUGGCAUAAGAGUGAAAGGCGCUUUCGGGUGUCGUUGAUGGAUGGACCCGCGGUGCAUUAGCUAGUUGGUGAGGUAACGGCUCACCAAGGCCACGAUGCAUAGCCGACCUGAGAGGGUGAUCGGCCACACUGGGACUGAGACACGGCCCAGACUCCUACGGGAGGCAGCAGUAGGGAAUCUUCGGCAAUGGACGAAAGUCUGACCGAGCAACGCCGCGUGAGUGAAGAAGGUUUUCGGAUCGUAAAACUCUGUUGUUAGAGAAGAACAAGGACGUUAGUAACUGAACGUCCCCUGACGGUAUCUAACCAGAAAGCCACGGCUAACUACGUG
rnacentral:rRNA from 1 species